UCCUUCCUCGGAGAGAACACUG
rnacentral:piRNA from 1 species